rnacentral:lncRNA from 1 species
AUGGCUGGUCGUGUAGAGGGAACGUGGAGAGAUGUGCACAGAUUGAGCAUCCUGAGAGAGAGAAGGAGAAGAUGCUCAUGCACACAUGCGUCUGGAGCGAUGCGGAGCACUAAACUCUCAUCUUUAGCAAUAUGCCUACUUUUGUUCCAAAGCGCGCAUGCUUACAACGAGUUUCAAUGGAUAUCUGAGCUGGAGGCACCUGCAGCCUCUAGAGCUGCAGACCCUGAUUCUAGCAGAUUGAUUUCACCUGAGCAGAAAAACACUGCUGCACCCAAUAGAUCUUCAGCUACAUCUGUGGACACACAACGAGAACGACCAGACAUUGCAACCACUAUUGUAUCUCAACCUACAGUAUUUAACAGCAAUACUGUUACCACAACCAGCAUCCCCUUUACAACAACAACAAACCAGAUUAGCACUACCCAAUCAUCUGCUGCUAACGACACUCCAAAACACCCAGGACUUCUAUAAGAACUACAACUACACAAAUUGAAA